GCCCAUGUAGCUCAGCGGUAGAGCAGCGCAUUCGUAAUGCGCGGGUCGGGGGUUCGAAUCCCUUCAUGGGCU
rnacentral:tRNA from 1 species